GAAGUGUACGGUUGUGUCCUGCUGUUGGUGGUUUGUGUGUGUGUGUGUGUUUCCAAGUCCGUUUCCCUGCUGACAGUGAGUCAGGGCCACUGCAACUAGCGGUUUUAUAAAUAGAGCCAGGAGGGAAGCUUCAAAGCCUCACUGUCAUUACGGCUCCGCGGAAGAAAGAAGAAAGUACCAGCGAGAAACGCUGGAGAAGCAGCAGCGUGACAGAGAGACAGAGAGAGAGAGAGAGUGACAUCAUUUCCUGUCUGAGGCACAGAAUCGUUGCUCACAGCUUUAUACGAACUGAUACAUCAGCCGUCGUCCAAAACCCGACGAUGCAAUAAAGAUGUUGGCUGCUGCUUCGUGCAGCGGCUGAAUCAGACGGUGCAGAGACGCUGGAUGCUUGACUGGCCUGAUUUAUAACUCACCACCCACAUUCACAUGGACACGGUCUGUUCCCACAGCUCCGCCCGGGUGUAGUUUGAAUGAAUGUGUGUGUGUGUAACACAUGUGACAAAAGGAGAGGGGGGGGGGGGUGCAGGCGUGACAUAAAACAGGGAGCAGAGGAGACUCUGACGGAGAUGAAGAGGGAACCCGAGCAACGAGGAGACGAGGAUGAAGAGAACGGUCGUCGUGACGUUCCAGAGCAGCAUUCCUGCUCCCAGACAGACGCUGAUGGGAGUUUCACUGACACUGUCAUGCUCAACGGACAAACUGAUGCUCAGUUCUGCCUAACAAACUGUGUAACAUAGAGCCAACUAUCUGUGUGUCUGUCUAUCAUCUUGUUCCUGCUCUAAAUAGGUAAAAGUUAUGAGUCUAAUACGUAUAUCAUAUUAUGGAAUUAUGAAUGCCGUUGGAGUAACAGCCGUUCUUCCAAUUGUACAUCUGUGAAUACAAAAUUAGCCUUCAGCCUGAUGAUGAGCAUCGUAUCAACCUCCUCAUCUCACUGUCUGCAGGUUAAUAAGUGUAUUCACCUUCAAAUUCAACAUUCAACAUCAUUUAAAUGUUUUUCUAUUCCCCCUUCGACAUCUCCAGUGUUUCCUGCCCGAGUCACAUUUAUUAUAUCUCACUGUGUCUGGAGCAGACGACGUCUGACACCACUUGUUAAAAGUGAAGAUAUAGGAAGCGUGAGGACGAGGGAUGAAAAUCCACGGCAUGAUGAGUAACACUGAGUAACUGACUGACUGACUGACUGACUGGAUGAAUAAAUGAAUGAAUGAAUGAA